rnacentral:rRNA from 1 species
AAGUGAUGCAAUAAUAAAAACUUUGGUUUAAUAAUUAAUGGAUUUAUUUUUAGAAUUAAGUAUUGAUUUUAUUAGGUAGAAUUUUAUAAUCAUUAGAGAUUUUUGUGUAGUUUAUGAGGUUAAUAAAUUUAGGUUUUAAACUAGGAUUAGAUACCCUAUUAUUCUUAAUUUAAAUAUUGUUUCCAAGUUAGUAAUAGUUAUAUUCUCGAAAAUUAAGGAAGUUGGCAGUAUUUUAGUCCACUCAGAGGAAUCUGCCCUAUAAUCGAUGGUCCACGAUUUUAUUUACUUAUUUUAUAUAAGUUUGUAUAUCGCCGUAGGUUAAACUCUUUUAAAGAAUUAAGUGUUUAAAAUUUUUUAAAAAUAAAUAAAUCAGGUCAAGGUGUAGCUUAUAAAUAAGAAGAGGUGGAUUACAAUAAAAUUAUUUAUUAUGAAUUAAAAUUUGAAAUUUUUUUAUGAAAGUGGAUUUGAUAGUAAUUUUAUUUAAAUUAAUAAAAUGAUUGAGGCGCUAAAAUAUGUACAUAUUGCCCGUCGCUUUCAUUACAAAGUGAAAUAAGUCGUAACAAAGUAGAGGUACUGGAAAGUGUUUCUAGAAUGA